CAGACCUUGUACUAUGGACUAAGGGUAUUACAAAAACAUGGAUGACGAGAACCACUCCAGGUGUACGGAAAUGAAUAUUCUAAAUAAUAAAAUUGAAAAUCACCAUGUUAGCCACAAGAGACAAGCACCUGUUGCGGUUGGAGAGACUAU